rnacentral:rRNA from 1 species
CGGGUGAGUAACACGUAUCCAACCUGCCGUCUACUCUUGGACAGCCUUCUGAAAGGAAGAUUAAUACAAGAUGGCAUCAUGAGUCCACAUGUUCACAUGAUUAAAGGUAUUCCGGUAGACGAUGGGGAUGCGUUCCAUUAGCUAGUUGGUGAGGUAACGGCUCACCAAGGCAACGAUAUAUAGGGGGACUGAGAGGUUAACCCCCACAUUGGUACUGAGACACGGACCAA